rnacentral:lncRNA from 1 species
GGACAAGGCAGGGCAGGGCAGCGGGCGGAUGGGCAUCCUUUCGGAAAAAAUUCAUAGAGCGCAGAGGGCCUUGGCUGUGGUGUUUGGCACUAACGAGCUUCCCUCUCUCCUAGAUGGCGGACUGUGGCGGCCUCCCGCAGAUCUCCCAGGUUCCUGUACUACUGCCUUGUACUUUUCAUUUUGGCUCACCGUGGAUUUUCUCAUAGGAAGUUUGGUCAGAGUGAAUUGAAUAUUGUAAGUCAGCCACUGGGACCCGAGGAUUUCUGGGACCCCGCAGUUGGGAGGAGGAAGUAGUCCAGCCUUCCAGGUGGCGUGAGAGGCAAUGACUCGUUACCUGCCGCCCAUCACCUUGGAGGCCUUCCCUGGCCUUGAGUAGAAAAGUCGGGGAUCGGGGCAAGAGAGGCUGAGUACGGAUGGGAAACUAUUGUGCACAAGUCUUUCCAGAGGAGUUUCUUAAUGAGAUAUUUGUAUUUAUUUCCAGACCAAUAAAUUUGUAACUUUGCAGCGG